rnacentral:rRNA from 1 species
CUACGGGAGGCAGCAGUGGGGAAUAUUGGACAAUGGGGGAAACCCUGAUCCAGCAAUGCCGCGUGUGUGAAGAAGGCCUGCGGGUUGUAAAGCACUUUCGGUUGGGAGGACUGCUUCUAGCACUAAUAUUGUUGGAAGUUGACGUUACCUUCAGAAGAAGCACCGGCUAACUCCGUGCCAGCAGCCGCGGUAAUAGCGGAGGGUGCAAGCGUUAAUCGGAAUUACUGGGCGUAAAGCGCGCGUAGGCGGCUAGAUCAGUCGGGUGUGAAAGCCCCGGGCUUAACCUGGGAACUGCAUCCGAUACUGUCUAGCUUGAGUACAGGAGAGGAGAGUGGAAUUCCACAUGUAGCGGUGAAAUGCGUAGAUAUGUGGAGGAACACCAAUGGCGAAGGCAGCUCUCUGGCCUGAUACUGACGCUGAGGUGCGAAAGCGUGGGGAGCAAACAGGAUUAGAUACCCGUGUAGUC